rnacentral:rRNA from 1 species
GUUUGAUCAUGGCUCAGAUUGAACGCUGGCGGAAUGCUUUACACAUGCAAGUCGAACGGUAACAGGUCUUCGGAUGCUGACGAGUGGCGAACGGGUGAGUAAUAUAUCGGAACGUGCCCAGUCGUGGGGGAUAACGUAGCGAAAGUUACGCUAAUACCGCAUACGAUCUAAGGAUGAAAGCGGGGGAUCGCAAGACCUCGCGCGAUUGGAGCGGCCGAUAUCAGAUUAGGUAGUUGGUGGGGUAAAGGCUCACCAAGCCAACGAUCUGUAGCUGGUCUGAGAGGACGACCAGCCACACUGGAACUGAGACACGGUCCAGACUCCUACGGGAGGCAGCAGUGGGGAAUUUUGGACAAUGGACGCAAGUCUGAUCCAGCCAUUCCGCGUGCAGGGUGAAGGCCCUCGGGUUGUAAACUGCUUUUGUACAGAACGAAAAGGUCUCCAUUAAUACUGGGGGCUCAUGACGGUACUGUAAGAAUAAGCACCGGCUAACUACGUGCCAGCAGCCGCGGUAAUACGUAGGGUGCGAGCGUUAAUCGGAAUUACUGGGCGUAAAGCGUGCGCAGGCGGUUAUACAAGACAGGCGUGAAAUCCCCGGGCUUAACCUGGGAAUGGCGCCUGUGACUGUAUAGCUAGAGUGUGUCAGAGGGGGGUAGAAUUCCACGUGUAGCAGUGAAAUGCGUAGAUAUGUGGAGGAAUACCAAUGGCGAAGGCAGCCCCCUGGGAUAACACUGACGCUCAUGCACGAAAGCGUGGGGAGCAAACAGGAUUAGAUACCCUGGUAGUCCACGCCCUAAACGAUGCUGACUAGUUGUUCGGGAUUUACAUCCUGAGUAACGUAGCUAACGCGUGAAGUCAGCCGCCUGGGGAGUACGGUCGCAAGAUUAAAACUCAAAGGAAUUGACGGGGA